GCUCGUCGGUGUGGGGUUCGAGGCGGUUGAGUGAGACGAGACGCGCCCCUCCCACGCGGGGAAGGGCGCCCGCCUGGUCCGGCGAGCGCACGUCCGGUGCUCCCCUCUGGCGGGUGCGCACGGGCCCUGUGAGCGAUCGCGGUGGGCUUGGGCUGGUGACGCGUGCGCCGGCCGGCCGCCGAGGGGCUACCGUUCUGCCUCCGACCGGUCGUGUGUGGGUUUACUCGGAGAAAUACUAGGCUUUAGAAUUUCACCAUAUGAAUUUUGGGAGAGAGGAGCACAGUUCAGCCCAUAACUAACACACGGUAACAAGACAAAUCUCUCCUCUGCCUUCUCCUUAUCAGACUACUCAACAUGAAGGCAAUAAGAAUGAAGACCUCUAUGUAUAAUAAUUGACUUCCACUUAAUAAAUAGCACCUCCUACGAACCAGGAUCUGUACUUGCUGUCCCAGUUAUAAAGUAAAACAGCCUGUCCUUCCUGCACUCAAGGAGACAGCUCCAUAAGCGGGGAGCUUGUUAAAAAUGCAGAAUUUGG
rnacentral:lncRNA from 1 species